rnacentral:lncRNA from 1 species
CCGGGUAAGACCCGAUGACUACGUGUGGAGAUUUUGUCCGGGUAAGACCCGAUAACUACGUGUGGGGACUAUUCGAGCUAAAGGUUUCGCUGAAGAUUCGAGUAAAGCAUAAGAUUAUACGACUUCACAGUAACAAUUGGUAAUAAAUACGUUCAAUGCGUUAAGUUGGUCAGGUAUGUAUUUUGAGAUUAUAUUUAAGCUUGAUUUGGACUAAAUCACAAGGUCGUUAUGUGACGCAUAUGUGAGUAAAGCAAUAAGACUGUUCUAUGAUUAUUGUGCGUUUGGUCAAUGUGGAAAGUUAGGUGAAAACAUGUAAUGUACCUAUGUUUAUAAGAGAUCACUAUCAAGUGAGAAUUUAUCUGCCUAUUAUAUAUGAUGAGAUGUGCAUAUUCGGUAAAGGGAUGGUAUGCCCGAAGGAAGAGUGAAAUAAAGAUACGAACAACUAUGUUAUAAUUUGAUUGUUAUCUGUUAACACUGCUUAAAACUUACUAAGCAUUGUAAUGCUUACUCCGUUUACUUUGUUUCCUCUGUUUUAUAGAUCUCAUUUGGAAGCUACAGGCUCGGGGAUCGUCAGCAACUAGUCACACUAUCACUAUCCACUGCUUGUUACUGUUAUGUUUUGAAUUAUUCUAUGGCAUGUAAAGAAUAGACCAGUGGCUGAAGAAUAUUUUGGUUAAUGUAUAUAAGCCAUGCGAAAAUGGCAUCUUUUGAAUGUGUACUUAUAGAAGUUAAAUUGUAUCCCUGA